rnacentral:rRNA from 1 species
AUUGAACGCUGGCGGCAUGCCUUACGCAUGCAAGUCGAACGGUAACAGGUCUUCGGAUGCUGACGAGUGGCGAACGGGUGAGUAAUACAUCGGAACGUGCCUAGUAGUGGGGGAUAACUACUCGAAAGAGUGGCUAAUACCGCAUGAGAUCUACGGAUGAAAGCAGGGGAUCGCAAGACCUUGUGCUACUAGAGCGGCCGAUGGCAGAUUAGGUAGUUGGUGGGAUAAAAACUUACCAAGCCGACGAUCUGUAGCUGGUCUGAGAGGACGAUCAGCCACACUGGGACUGGGAAACGGCCCAGACUCCUACGGGAGGCAGCAGUGGGGAAUUUUGGACAAUGGGCGCAAGCCUGAUCCAGCAAUGCCGCGUGCAGGAUGAAGGCCUUCGGGUUGUAGACUGCUUUUGUACGGAACGAAAAGCCCCGGGUUAAUACCCUGGGGUCAUGACGGUACCGUAAGAAUAAGCACCGGCUAACUACGUGCCAGCCGCCGCCGUAA